AUUGAACGCUGGCGGCAGGCCUAACACAUGCAAGUCGAGCGAGUGGCGGACGGGUGAGUAAUGUCUGGGGAUCUGCCCGAUAGAGGGGGAUAACUACUGGAAACGGUGGCUAAUACCGCAUACUAUCGGAUGAACCCAUAUGGGAUUAGCUAGUAGGUGGGGUAAAGGCUCACCUAGGCGACGAUCCCUAGCUGGUCUGAGAGGAUGACCAGCGACACUGGAACUGAGACACGGCACAGACUCCUACGGGAGGCAGCAGUGGGGAAUAUUGCACAAUGGGCGCAAGCCUGAUGCAGCCAUGCCGCGUGUAUGAAGAAGGCCUUAGGGUUGUAAAGUACUUUCAGCGGGGAGGCGUUACCCGCAGAAGAAGCACCGGCUAACUCCGUGCCAGCAGCCGCGGUAAUAC
rnacentral:rRNA from 1 species